UACAGAGGGUGCGAGCGUUAAUCGGAAUUACUGGGCGUAAAGCGCGCGUAGGCGGCUUUGCAAGUCGGGUGUGAAAUCCCCAGGCUUAACCUGGGAACUGCAUUCGAGACUGCAUUGCUAGAGUAUGGGAGAGGGAAGUGGAAUUUCCGGUGUAGCGGUGAAAUGCGUAGAUAUCGGAAGGAACAUCAGUGGCGAAAGCGACUUCCUGGACCAAUACUGACGCUCAUGUGCGAAAGCGUGGGGAGCAAACAGGAUUAGAUACCCUGGUAGUCCACGCCAUAAACGAUGAGAACUGGAUGUCGGGAGGGUCUGCCUCUCGGUGUCGUAGCUAACGCGUUAAGUUCUCCGCCUGGGGAGUACGGCCGCAAGGUUGAA
rnacentral:rRNA from 1 species